rnacentral:snRNA from 1 species
AUCACUUCUCGGCCUUUUGGCUAAGAUCAAGUGUAGAAAUGUAGGGGGAGAGAAGGGGAAUGUGCUGGAAGAUAGUCUCUCCCCAGUUUUUUUUUUUUAAUUUUUUUAAUUUCCCCAAUACAUUAU